AGAGAGCCAGAACAGAACAUGGCGACACUGGGGUGAUGAGGUGUGGUGGUGGUGGCUGAUAUCAGAUGGAUCCUGACGCCUAAAUGGCGCUCAUUUGAUGGUGCUCUCUGAUGAUGCGUCACAUGCUACAGUACUUCAUUAUAGUGAAGCUGGACAGCGCUCGCGGUUCAUUAAAAAGCAAUAUGUGGAGGUGUGAUUGGCCAUUUCCUGCAGAUAAGUAUCUCCUCAUACAUUUAAAGAAGACAGCCGGACUAGACUGGAUCGUGGAUUCUCUUCAGCUGCAAUGUUGGGGAAUUUUUGUCGUAAUGUUGGAGGCGUCGCCGACGGAGGCAUGAGACUAAUCAACCUUCAACUCAACUCUGAAUGCCAAACAACUGCCAAGGCACUUUGACAAAUAAAG
rnacentral:lncRNA from 1 species